UCUGCACACAAACAAACACACACACACACACACACACACACACACACACACACACACACACACACACACACACACACACACACACACACACACACACACACACACACACACACACACACACACACACACACAAAAACACAGUUGCAGAGAAAGGGGGGAAAUUGAGUUAAGUAUAACUGACAUCCACUCACAACAGAAACCACAAAUUUAAAAAUCCCAAUCCCUUAUAGGGAUGGCUAGUGUGACGUCAGACGUCCACUUCCGUGUCCAAUCGCUAAACCGUGUCCAUUCGCUAACAACGAUGGCUACAGCAGCACAGGAACCGGUCACGUUUUACACAGUGACAGCGUACUUUACACUCCAGACAUCCCAAAGUCUGUACAAAAGGGUCUUAAUUCUUACAAUUUGAAUAGGGUAGUAUCAGUAUUAAUGUCAGGUGGAAGUCUGACAGGGAAAGUCCAGGCGUCAAUGAAAAAAAAAAAGCUACGAUGUUGAGGUGAGAAAGUAGGGUGUUGAUAGCUAAUGUCAACACAGGGCUGUCUUUUAGCCGUGUUGGGGUUUGGUGAGGGUUAUCUAGAUUAGUUGUUUUCAGCGUAAUAGCAUAACAUACAACUUUAAAACAUAGCAUUGGAAGCUAGCGAUAGCUAUCUAAUGUAAACACAGUGUGUGCGUUGCUGAGUCCUUUAGCUGUCUUAGGGUUUGAUGAGGGUUAGCUAGUUGAGUUGUUUUCACUCAGGUACACGUUGAGGGACAGGAGGUGAAGGCAAGUACCUGCUCUUGUGCUAUCGGGAGGGCCAAGUGUCAUCAUGUAGCAGCCCUGCUGAUUUGGGCUGAAAAGAACCUAACCCGCACGGAUGUCGAGUGUGUGUGGAAGAGGGCCCCAGCACCCAAAACAGAUGAGGUCACAGCGAAGAGGGUGUCUGUGAUUGCACCUUCCACAUCUCAAGGUCAGGUUUUCUUUGAAUACUAAAAGCUACGCCCUGUCUGGCUUUAGUGUUAUAAAUGAAUGGUGAUGCUACUGACAGCAGGUAUGUGAGAUAGGAGAUGGUUUCAAGUGAGAACACUAUAAUCUAUUAUUUCAGCUGGAAUUAAACGACCUGUCGCCCAGGAGGACAGAGAAUGGACACUGAACUCCUUGGCACAGCUGGGCCGUUUUACAGGUCUUGGUUGGAUUCUGGCACCAGAAACACCUCAGACCUUUGAUGGGGUAGUGACCAGCUCAGGCUAUGGCAAUGCAGAGGACAAAGCUCUGUAUGUGCUUUCAUCACUUGCUGUCAGCCAGCAAGAGAAAGAAGCCAUUGAGAGAGCCACAGUUGGGCAAACUAAGAAUGCCUUAUGGUGAUACAUACAAAUAUAGUCUCUAUUGAUUUCAGGUGUACGGUAUUGACUAGCUUUCUCUCCAUUAGUGCUGGAAACAUCCCUGUGUGCUACAUGGUCAAAAUGCACCUGUGUUGCAAGUGGCAUGAGGUUAACUGUUAUGGUUUUCUUUUAACAGGAUGGCAUAUCGCAACAAAAGAAUAACAGCCGGCAACUUCGGUUUGGUGUUGGCAGCAUUGAAGCGGAACUCUUACCCUCCUUCCUUAUUCAAAACCCUGCUUGGCCAAUACAACCUCAAACAAGGAUCUCAUGCUUGUGAUUGGGGAAUCCUCCAUGAGCCAAAGGCAAAGCAGGAAUACAUGGAGCGCACUGGUGUGACCAUCCAGGAGAGGGGAGUGUUCUUUUCUGACAGCGGCCUGCUCGGUGGCUCUCCAGAUGUGACGGUGGCUGAUGACUUCAUCAUUGAGGUGAAAUGUCCCUAUUCAGCCAGAACCAAGACCAACCUGCAGGCAGCGGAGAGGAAGGACUAUUUUCUAGAACUGGAUGAAGUCACUGGCUUACUGAAGCUCAAGCAAACACACAACCACUGGCAUCAGAUUCAGGGCAAUCUGCACCUGACAGGAGCCAACAAUUGUCAUCUUGUGGUGUGGACUCCUCUUGACCUUGUUAUCCUGCUUAUCCCUAAAGACCCAGCAUGGGCUAGCAACAUUAACAUUCUGGAAAAAAUUUAUAAGGAUUGUUUCCUUCCUCGCAUACUUCUGCAUUCAUGACCUGUUCUAGUGCAGGAUUUCAUUCUUCUGCAGCUUGCCGGGCCACCAAGGUAUUUAUCCUUUUGUUUUGUUGUACAUUCUCAUCACACAGUACAUAACACACUACACAUAGUCAGAUGCCAUUUACACUGAUACACCUAGUCUCUUUAAAAGGUCCCAUGACAUGCCAUCAGGUGUGGUGUGAUUAGCCGUUACAAGCCGUUUUGGAAAUCUGCCCCUUAUGACAUCACAGGUGGGCGUGUCCACCUAGAUGUAUGGCGGAUAGAUGAGCAACGUUUGCUGCAGUCUACUGUGUUGGCUGGUAGACUGAUCUAUCCAGCAUACAUCUAGGUGGACACGCCCACAUGUGAUGUCAUAUGGGGCAGAUUUCCAAAACGGCUUGUAAGCUAAUCACACAACACCUGGUGCCGUGUCAUGGGACCUUUUAAGGGUAAGGCCUCAUUCAUGUUCACUAUUCAUUCACUAUAUUAUUAUUUUGUUACAUUGUUCGUGUUAACAAUAAACUGACUGGGAGUGGGAGCAACUCUGUGUGAAGACUCAAAUUUGUCUGCUAGUUCAGCUUGUUUUGCACCUAGCCUGUCAAAGUGUAUGUCCAAGUAGUUCCCAACUGAUGGUGGCUUAAACUGAAUGAUUUUGAUGUGACAGACAUGAGAUAGACACGAGUAAAACAAUGACAUUUAUUCAUGCAAUUUCUUGAAGAAUGGGCUUCUAUAAAUUCACAAGACUAACACAUACUUUUAGGAUCUUGUUGGCAUGCUUCUUAUGCUGGUACGGGAUGUAGGUCAAAAUGCCAAAUGUUUUCAGACGUUGUAUGGAACGCUCUACAUGAAUCCUUGCACAGGCAACGAGUCUGUUGUGGUUUACUUCCUCCACUGUGAACUGUCCAUUGACAAGGAACGUUGGGAUGUUCAGUGACACUCCCUCAGGCAAAAUGUCACGAAUAGUGAAUCCCUUAUCUGCCAUCACCAUGUCAUCUGGUUCUAGCUGUUGGAGUACUCCGCAGUCAGCUGUUAUCGCCUUGUCCGAGGUACUUCCACCGUAUAGGUCACUGGCGAAGGUUAUAACUCCAUUGGGAGCCACACCGAUCAGAGCUUUAAGUGUGGUGCGUCCUUUGUAAUGACUGUACAGAUUACUCUGGGUGUCCAGUCUUUCUGUAUUGGAGACGGCCACUUCAGUGCAGUCAAGCACAAUCCGACAGUCGGGAAAUGGUUAGAAGCAAUCUGGCAGGGAUGUUUGGUUCUUGAAUCUCGAGGGGAUGUUGUUUUCCAUCAUGCCAACAUACAAAAUGUCAUACAGUGUACUGCUGAUUGUGGUGAAGAUGUUGGUGACUGUGGCACGGCAGCAAUUAAAUCUUGUUGCAAGGUCUAGGAUGCCACAAUUCAGUCUGAGCUUCAUCAAAGUCAGGAGUAGCUGAUCGAUAAGGGGCAUAAUUUGGACAUUCCAAUUAAAGUGGUACUGGAGAUCAAAUUUGGAGAGAAGGGCUUCCAAAAAGAAGACAGUGGCAGCAUCUGUCAAGCCAGUGUAGUAAUUAACUUUGUCAGGGUGUGAGGAGAUUU